UGACGGAGGGUGCAAACGUUGCUCGGAAUCAUUGGGCGUAAAGCGCACGUAGGCGGCCUGUUAAGUCGGGCGUGAAAUCCCACGGCUCAACCGUGGAAGUGCACUCGAAACUGCAUAGCUAGAGUCCUGUAGAGGCAGGCGGAAUUCCGGGUGUAGCGGUGGAAUGCGUAGAGAUCCGGAAGAACACCGGUGGCGAAGGCGGCCUGCUGGGCAGUAGCUGACACUGAGGCGCGACAGCGUGGGGAGCAAACAGGG
rnacentral:rRNA from 1 species